rnacentral:rRNA from 1 species
UACAGAGGGGGCAAGCGUUGUUCGGAAUUACUGGGCGUAAAGGGCGCGUAGGCGGCCCGCUAAGUCGAACGUGAAAUCCCCGGGCUCAACCCGGGAACUGCGUCCGAUACUGGUGGGCUUGAAUCCGGGAGAGGGAUGCGGAAUUCCAGGUGUAGCGGUGAAAUGCGUAGAUAUCGUGGAGGAACACCGGUGGCGAAGGCGGCAUCCUGGACCGGCAUUGACGCUGAGGCGCGAAAGCCAGGGGAGCAAACGGG